UACAGAGGUCUCAAGCGUUGUUUCGGAUUCAUUGGGCGUAAAGGGUGCGUAGGCGGAUUUGUUUAAGUCGGGGGGUGAAAUCCUGGAGCUCAACUCCAGAACUGCCUUUGAUACUGGCGAUCUCGAGUCCGGGAGAGGUGAGUGGAACUGCGAGUGUAGAGGUGAAAUUCGUAGAUAUUCGCAAGAACACCAGUGGCGAAGGCGGCUCACUGGCCCGGUACUGACGCUGAGGUGCGAAAGCGUGGGGAGCAAACAGG
rnacentral:rRNA from 1 species